UACGUAGGGUGCGAGCGUUGUCCGGAAUUAUUGGGCGUAAAGAGCUCGUAGGCGGUGUGUCACGUCGGCCGUGAAAACCUGCAGCUUAACUGUGGGCGUGCGGUCGAUACGGGCAUCACUGGAGUUCGGCAGGGGAGACUGGAAUUCCUGGUGUAGCGGUGAAAUGCGUAGAUAUCGAGAGGAACACCUGCGGCGAAGGCGGGUUGCUGGGCUGACACUGACGCUGAGGCGCGAAAGCUAGGGGAGCGAACGGG
rnacentral:rRNA from 1 species